UACAGGGGGGGCAAGCGUUGUUCGGAAUUACUGGGCGUAAAGGGCUCGUAGGCGGCCAACUAAGUCCGACGUGAAAUCCCAAAGCUUAACUUUGGAACUGCGUCGGAUACUGGAUGGCUUGAAUUCGGGAGAGGGAUGCAGAAUUCCAGGUGUAGCGGUGAAAUGCGUAGAUAUCUGGAAGAACACCAAAGGCGAAGGCAGCGUCCUGGCAAGCAACUGACGCUCAUGUGCGAAAGCUAGGGGAGCGAACGGG
rnacentral:rRNA from 1 species